rnacentral:rRNA from 1 species
AGCGAACGCUGGCGGCAGGCUUAACACAUGCAAGUCGAGCGGGCAUCUUCGGAUGUCAGCGGCAGACGGGUGCGUAACACGUGGGAACGUACCCUUCGGUUCGGAACAACUCUGGGAAACUGGAGCUAAUACCGGAUACGCCCUUAUGGGGAAAGGUUUACUGCCGAAGGAUCGGCCCGCGUCUGAUUAGCUAGUUGGUGGGGUAACGGCCUACCAAGGCGACGAUCCGUAGCUGGUCUGAGAGGAUGAUCAGCGACACUGGGACUGAGACACGGCCCAGACUCCUACGGGAGGCAGCAGUGGGGAAUAUUGGACAAUGGGCGCAAGCCUGAACCAGCCAUGACGCGUGAGUGAUGAAGGCAUUAGGGUUGUAAAGCUCUUUUGUCCGGGACGAUAAUGACGGUACCGGAAGAAUAAGCCCCGGCUAACUUCGUG